GACCACAGGGCCUAGUGAAUAAGGCAUCUGACUUCGGAUCAGGAGAAUGAGGGGUCACGUCCCUCUGUGGUUG
rnacentral:tRNA from 1 species